UACGUAGGGGGCAAGCGUUGUCCGGAAUCAUUGGGCGUAAAGCGCGUGUAGGCGGUUCGAUAAGUCUGCUGUGAAAGUCCAGGGCUCAACCCUGGGAUGCCGGUGGAUACUGUCGGGCUAGAGUACGGAAGAGGCGAGUGGAAUUCCCGGUGUAGCGGUGAAAUGCACAGAUAUCGGGAGGAACACCAAUUGCGAAGGCAGCUCGCUGGGACGUCACUGACGCUGAGACGCGAAAGCGUGGGGAGCAAACGGG
rnacentral:rRNA from 1 species